GGCCUCACUGCAUUGCCGCUGUCCAUCCUGUGGUGCUGAAGCAACCAAGAGACCCAAGCCUGCAUGGCUGCCUCUUAGGAUAUGACAGCACAGCCAGUGGCCUCUACUUGAUCCUGUACAACCUCACAAGACACCCAGACACCAGGAGUGCUGCCAGCACGUGUUGCAAGAGUCCUGAGGAGCCACAGUCCUGAAGACAUUGAAUGGUGGGUGCAGAGCCUCAUGGCCUGUUCCCCAGCCCCUCUCAUUGGCUCUGCUCCAGGUGGUGAAGGGGGAAAAUGUUUUUGUCAAUUCUUCCAUGAUUGCCUAACAGGAAAAGGAGCAGAGCCCAGAAGCAGGGCCUGGUAUGCAGCCUGCCUAGCAAGGGAGAAUUUGUAGGCUUUGUGGACAGAAAGGUCUGGGAGUCCAUAUCUAUCACCCACUAACUUUCUAUGAGACAUUAGUAAAAUCAGUUUUCUUUUCUGAACUACAUUUCUGCCACCUGUAAAUUGAGGGGAAUUUCUUCUACCUCACAAAUCUGCUUGGGAAAUGCCUCACAGUGAAUGCAGAGCAGGUGCCACCCAGCAGGCAUUUGGUGUCCAGACCACUCCUCUUCCCCCUUGAUUUUCUGCCUAAAUUUGCAUUUUGUUCCCAAGACCUCCACUCCCCUUUAUUUUGCUCUUCCCUCUGAUUCCCACCUUAUCAUCUAUCCCAUGGAUUCACCAGGAUAUAAGUGGGUAACAGUCAUGUAUGCAUGUAUGUGGAUGUACAUAUGCCCUGUGUUGUGUCGGAGUGUGGGGUGUGUGUGUGUGUGUGUGUGUGUGUGUUGGAGUCACUGAGUGACUGAAACAGUCCACACCAGCCUGUGUUCCUGCUCAUUGCUUAGAGGUGCUGUCAGCUCCCCUGCCCUCAACCCAAGUUCUGACCCUUGCAGUGCAGUGCAGGCAGGGCGUUCAGGAGGAAUCAUGUCCUUGGAAGGAGCCCUGAGGAGUGACUGUUUUUAGGUGAAAAAAACUGGGGCAAAGAGCAAUACAAGAGAGUUGCCAAAAUUCAUACUGCUGGUGCAGGUUUGAACCAAGCAGUCUGCACUUAGAGUCCUUGUCUGUAACCAUGGCACCCUGGCUUCUCACGCAUCUCAUCCUGGAGUUCCACCUUGUGUCAAGCAUGGCACUGAGCAGUUUCUUUUAAGAACAUAAUUUGUAAUUAUGUAGAUUACUAAUUCUACUUCAAAAUGACACACAGUCUUCAUGUGAUAAAAGGAAACAAUUGCUCAUCUGAUCUGCUGGGAUCUCUACUAAGAUGUUGACAGCCUGGUCAGCUGGUCUGGCCAUGGAUGUGCCUUCAGGGGCUGGUUAUGCUUCAUGACCUGUGUUGCGGUCAGUGCCAUUUUGCAGCCCCUGGUCAGAAUGAAACGUUCCAUGGGAACUCAGGCUGUGAGAAACAUCCUUCCUAACCACGUGACUGCAGGAACAUCCUUACCACAUCCUCCCGGGCAAAGGCCCAACAGCCUGAAUGCAGGGACAUCCUUGCCAUAUCCUGCUGGGCAGCAAGCUCUACCACCCAGAUCCCUCCCUCCCAGUCCCAUGAUUACCCCAGCCUGUGAGCGGCAGUUGGUGCUGACACUAAGCUGGUUUACCCCUCUGCAGGGUUUUGUUGGCAAUAAA
rnacentral:sRNA from 1 species